GGAUGGAUCCAGAAGGGCGGCCCCCGUGCAUGGGGGCAGCGGUGGCGUGGGCCGGAUCUAAGAUGCGAAACCAUCCACGCCGUGGAAGUGACACCCGGUUGAACGGGGCCCUGGAAGGGAACCGAAUGGCUCGAGAAAAAGACGGCAAGGUCGAGGUGAUGACAUUCACGAAGGCGAGUUUCAUUCACAAAGAGAUCAUUUUCCGCGGUCAUGACAGACACGGGACAUGGAAUUAUGUGGGACACCUCCAAGCGGAGUCUUCCGGACAGUUACCUCGUUCUUGACGGCGUGGGUUUCACUGGAGUCGCACUUCCUUAAAUACAUUUAAGACACA